rnacentral:rRNA from 1 species
UAUGAAGGCGGGCUGGAAUCUCUCGGGGUUACAGCCUUGCUGAAUUAUUCACCCUUGUCUUUUGCGUACUUCUUGUUUCCUUGGUGGGUUCGCCCACCACUAGGACAAACAUAAACCUUUUGUAAUUGCAAUCAGCGUCAGUAACAAAUUAAUAAUUACAACUUUCAACAACGGAUCUCUUGGUUCUGGCAUCGAUGAAGAACGCAGCGAAAUGCGAUAAGUAGUGUGAAUUGCAGAAUUCAGUGAAUCAUCGAAUCUUUGAACGCACAUUGCGCCCUUUGGUAUUCCAAAGGGCAUGCCUGUUCGAGCGUCAUUUGUACCCUCAAGCUUUGCUUGGUGUUGGGCGUCUUGUCUCUAGCUUUGCUGGAGACUCGCCUUAAAGUAAUUGGCAGCCGGCCUACUGGUUUCGGAGCGCAGCACAAGUCGCACUCUCUAUCAGCAAAGGUCUAGCAUCCAUUAAGCCUUUUUCCCCCUUUUGACCUCGGAUCAGGUAGGGAUACCCGCUGAACUUAAGCAUAUCAAUAAGCGGAGGAA